CUGUUCGGCAACAUGUUGUGUUCUUUUUUAAUGUGUUUCAGUGAGAGAUUUGAAGAUUUUCCUCCUGGGGACGAGUAUGUCAGAAAACAACAGAGUGGGAAACCUAAUCUUGGGUAAAAAUGUGUUUGUAAAGAAAACACCAUCAUCUGAUGAAAAGCACAGUGGAAGAGUGGAGGACAGAAACAUCACAGUCAUCAUCUCUCACCUGCUUAAAUUAAAACCAACACAAGAAGCAGUAAAGCAGAAAGCAUCAGAGCUGUCUCGAUUUAAUCCUCAUGUGAUCAUUCUGGUGCUACAGCUCAGUGGUUUCAGUGAGAAGCAGAAAGAUUGAUUAACUUCAGUGCUGAUUGACUUGAAAGAGCAGGCAAUGAAGCACACAAUGAUUCUGACCACUGACGACAAGAAACACAGUAGUAAAGCAGUCUGUGAAAGAAAAUGAGCUUAUUCAGCAGUUAUCUGCAGAGUGUGGAGGAGGACGCCUUCAACUACUACACACAGAACGCUCUCAGUUACUUAAGAAAGUGGAUGAAGUAAUCACUCUUAGUGGUCAUGAGACACAACAUCAGUCAUCAUUGGAUCAAGAGAAUACAGAUGCAUCUGGACAACAGAAGCUGAAUCUGGUUCUGUGUGGAAGUAAUGCAACACAUACAGUCUCAGUGUCAAAGCUUCUCAGUCAUUCCAGUCAGACAGACAGCAAUGGAGUGUGUGUGAAGAAACAGAAGAUUCAUGGUCGUCAGAUCAGUCUGCUGGAACUUCCAGCUCUCACUCCUCUCUCAGAGGAGGAAGUGAUGCGUCAGACUCUCCGCUGUGUGUCUCUCAGUGAUCCUGGAGUUCAUGCUUUCCUCAUCAUUGUUACUGUUGGACAUCUGACUGAUGAAGAUAAAGCAGAGAUAGAGAAGAUCCUGAAGACAUUUGACUCUAAGGAUCACGUUAUUGUGCUCUUCACAUCAGAGCUCACUGAUGAAAGAUUUGCAAUAGAUCUUGUUAACAUCUACCCUGAGUGUCAGAGGUUGAUUAGUCUUUGUGGAGGUCAGUACAGAGUGAUUGGGUUAAAGAAACCUGAAGACUCUAAACAGAUCCCAGAACUGCUGGAGUAUGUAGAGAAGAUGGAGACUGAACCAUUCUCACCUGAGAUGUACAGG
ensembl:processed_transcript